rnacentral:rRNA from 1 species
GACGAACGCUGGCGGCGUGCUUAACACAUGCAAGUCGAACGGAAAGGCCCUGCUUUUGUGGGGUGCUCGAGUGGGGAACGGGGGAGAAAAACGGGAGUAACCUGCCCUUGACUUUGGGAUAACUCCAGGAAACUGGGGCUAUUACAGGAUAGGAGCUCUUGCUGCACGGUGGGGGUUGGAAAGUUUCGGCGGUUGGGGAUGGACUCGCGGCUUAUCCGCUUGUUGGUGGGGUAGUGGCUGACCAAGGCUUUGACGGGUAGCCGGCCUGAGAGGGUGACCGGCCACAUUGGGACUGAGAUACGGCCCAGACUCCUACGGGAGGCAGCAGUGGGGAAUAUUGCACAAUGGGCGGAAGCCUGAUGCAGCAACGCCGCGUGCGGGAUGACGGCCUUCGGGUUGUAAACCGCUUUCGCCUGUGACGAAGCGUGAGUGACGGUAAUGGGUAAAGAAGCACCGGCUAACUACGUG